rnacentral:rRNA from 1 species
UUUAUGGAGAGUUUGAUCCUGGCUCAGGAUGAACGCUGGCGGCGUGCCUAAUACAUGCAAGUCGAGCGAACAGAUGAGAAGCUUGCUUCUCUGAUGUUAGCGGCGGACGGGUGAGUAACACGUGGAUAACCUGCCUAUAAGACUGGGAUAACUUCGGGAAACCGGAGCUAAUACCGGAUAAUAUUUUGAACCGCAUGGUUCAAAAGUGAAAGACGGUCUUGCUGUCACUUAUAGAUGGAUCCGCGCUGCAUUAGCUAGUUGGUAAGGUAACGGCUUACCAAGGCAACGAUGCAUAGCCGACCUGAGAGGGUGAUCGGCCACACUGGAACUGAGACACGGUCCAGACUCCUACGGGAGGCAGCAGUAGGGAAUCUUCCGCAAUGGGCGAAAGCCUGACGGAGCAACGCCGCGUGAGUGAUGAAGGUCUUCGGAUCGUAAAACUCUGUUAUUAGGGAAGAACAUAUGUGUAAGUAACUGUGCACAUCUUGACGGUACCUAAUCAGAAAGCCACGGCUAACUACGUGCCAGCAGCCGCGGUAAUACGUAGGUGGCAAGCGUUAUCCGGAAUUAUUGGGCGUAAAGCGCGCGUAGGCGGUUUUUUAAGUCUGAUGUGAAAGCCCACGGCUCAACCGUGGAGGGUCAUUGGAAACUGGAAAACUUGAGUGCAGAAGAGGAAAGUGGAAUUCCAUGUGUAGCGGUGAAAUGCGCAGAGAUAUGGAGGAACACCAGUGGCGAAGGCGACUUUCUGGUCUGUAACUGACGCUGAUGUGCGAAAGCGUGGGGAUCAAACAGGAUUAGAUACCCUGGUAGUCCACGCCGUAAACGAUGAGUGCUAAGUGUUAGGGGGUUUCCGCCCCUUAGUGCUGCAGCUAACGCAUUAAGCACUCCGCCUGGGGAGUACGACCGCAAGGUUGAAACUCAAAGGAAUUGACGGGGACCCGCACAAGCGGUGGAGCAUGUGGUUUAAUUCGAAGCAACGCGAAGAACCUUACCAAAUCUUGACAUCCUUUGACAACUCUAGAGAUAGAGCCUUCCCCUUCGGGGGACAAAGUGACAGGUGGUGCAUGGUUGUCGUCAGCUCGUGUCGUGAGAUGUUGGGUUAAGUCCCGCAACGAGCGCAACCCUUAAGCUUAGUUGCCAUCAUUAAGUUGGGCACUCUAAGUUGACUGCCGGUGACAAACCGGAGGAAGGUGGGGAUGACGUCAAAUCAUCAUGCCCCUUAUGAUUUGGGCUACACACGUGCUACAAUGGACAAUACAAAGGGCAGCGAAACCGCGAGGUCAAGCAAAUCCCAUAAAGUUGUUCUCAGUUCGGAUUGUAGUCUGCAACUCGACUACAUGAAGCUGGAAUCGCUAGUAAUCGUAGAUCAGCAUGCUACGGUGAAUACGUUCCCGGGUCUUGUACACACCGCCCGUCACACCACGAGAGUUUGUAACACCCGAAGCCGGUGGAGUAACCUUUUAGGAGCUAGCCGUCGAAGGUGGGACAAAUGAUUGGGGUGAAGUCGUAACAAGGUAGCCGUAUCGGAAGGUGCGGCUGGAUCACCUCCUUU